UCCCUGUAGAGCAAUGGAUACCGCGUUGGACCUCUAAACCAAAGUCGUGGGUUCUAAUCCUACCUGGAAAG